rnacentral:rRNA from 1 species
UAGGACGUCCACUUAACUUGGAGUCCGAACUCUCACUUUCUAACCCUGUGCACUUGUUUGGGAUAGUAACUCUCGCAAGAGAGCGAACUCCUAUUCACUUAUAAACACAAAGUCUAUGAAUGUAUUAAAUUUUAUAACAAAAUAAAACUUUCAACAACGGAUCUCUUGGCUCUCGCAUCGAUGAAGAACGCAGCGAAAUGCGAUAAGUAAUGUGAAUUGCAGAAUUCAGUGAAUCAUCGAAUCUUUGAACGCACCUUGCGCUCCAUGGUAUUCCGUGGAGCAUGCCUGUUUGAGUGUCAUGAAUACUUCAACCCUCCUCUUUCUUAAUGAUUGAAGAGGUGUUUGGUUUCUGAGCGCUGCUGGCCUUUACGGUCUAGCUCGUUCGUAAUGCAUUAGCAUCCGCAAUCGAACUUCGGAUUGACUUGGCGUAAUAGACUAUUCGCUGAGGAAUUCUAGUCUUCGGAUUAGAGCCGGGUUGGGUUAAAGGAAGCUUCUAAUCAGAAUGUCUACAUUUUAAGAUUAGAUCUCAAAUCAG